CACACAUCUUCAAAAAGGGCCAGAAAGUUGAUCCUGGUAGCUACAGACCUAUCAGUCUCACCUCGAUGCUGGGGAAGGUUAUGGAAUGGAUAAUCUUGGGAGCCAUAAUGGAGCAAUUAAAUGUCAACCAGGGGAUCAGGUCCAGUCAACAUGGGUUUACGAACAGUAGAUCCUAUCUGACAAACCUGAUUUCAUUCUUUGACAAGGUGACCCACUCAGUGGAUGAAGUGACCUUCAGCUUCAUCUUUGCUGCACCUCCAGUGGUAAUAAGCAUGUCAAAGAAAAAAUGAAGAUAAUUCCACUUUCCCCAGGAACUUAGUCUGCCCAUUAAUUGAGUUGCAUUUCUUUAAGCUCAUGGUUUACUUCUGGGAAAGAAAUCUCUAAUUCAGCAUAGCAGUUGCCCUGUUCAGCUUGGAAGUCAGUGGUUCAUGAAGACCGUGCCUGUCUAGCCAGUCGGGUUUUGGGAUUCUCAUGCUGGGACACAUGUCGGACUCUGCAGAUGGCAUAGAGCUAAUGUAUGCUGCAGAUUCACACCCGGUAGCAGUUGCUUCUGAAACCACUGCCUCUUAGCUCCCUAUACCACAAAUAAAAUUACUUAUUCUGCACAAGCAAAAAACUUUCUGCUUGGUUUCUUGUUGGAAACAGAAAUCUUCCCUUUAUCUAGCAAAGAAAAGGCGCACCUUUGUGUUCAUUCCAUGUGUGUGAAGAGCCUUCUCAAGUGUAUAUAAUUCACCCAGCAUCUCUUCAGGCAUCAGUCUCUCAUCCUACUGAGAAAGGAAUGUUACAAAGCCAUCUGUAAGAGGAGCAGAAUUACAUGAACCCGAAUAAACGACUGCCUUAACUACUCCAAAACCCACAAUCAGGGUACCUGAUAAUCAUUCAGAAAAGAAGCAGACUUGUGAUCCCAGCUUUUUUAACUGACACCAUCUGCCUCUUAGUCUCUUUCUCCUGCUGACACCAACAGGUUUUCACCUUCUGGUUCACGAACACCUUGCCAGAAUAAUUUCCAUCCCUGGCUGGAACCAGGCUGCCUUUUUCCUCACUCUGUCGUGCCUCAGGCAGAGCUUUCCCAGGAGCAGUGCUGGAAGACAGGAGGUCCUCCUCUGUCCUGGAGUGGCUGUGAACAUCUCUGGCACUGCUGUGUCAUGCACCUUUGUUUCUGGAGAGCAGAGUGGAAGGGUGGGUGAAGCAGGAAUGUGGAUCUGCCCACUGCUCAUAAGUACCUACCUGCAGACUUAGCACCAGCGAGGCACCUCCCCUCACACAGGGGAGCAGUGGGAAACCUGGCUCUUAAUAAAAGAAGGCUUUCAAAAGGCUGGCAGAGUGAACAAUGUCAGGCUUGAAACUUAAACGUUGCACUGGUUAUUUGGUGUUCCUACGGUGAAAGACCACAUUCCACAUACAAGAUGUAAAAGAUUAUUUUUCUUCAAAUUUGGGCACAUCUGUGGCCAUCAUAUUUCACUGAUAAGAGCCAGGCAAAAGGAAAACAGAUUGUCUCACACAGUGCUGUCUCGGUGUACCUUCUCCUUCUAUGUACCAGUUAUCUGAACCUGUCCUCUGUUGUCUCAUGAGCUGUUGAUGAUUACAUCUAAUACAUUAUCUUUUAAACCCAGCAUGAAGCUAAUUACUGCCACCUAUAUCUCCAGGCACCUUGACUGCAGCUCUGAUUAUUCUUAGCUUUAUAUCAAGAAACCCCACUGACCCCUUACUGUAUGAAUUCCUCAUUUAUAGAUUUUUCUGUGCUGUGCAUGUAUUUCAGGCACAUCUUUACAGAAGGAAAUGCAGUCAAGGCCAGUUGUUUGCUGUAAGCAGAAACCUCCAUUUCUUGCUUUCCCUAAAUGCUUUCUAAUAAAAUUUGUGUUGGAACAUUGUUCUAAGAGCAUCCCUAUAAGGAAUAAUUCCAGUGACCUCAGCAAAUUACCUGUGAAUGAAUCUCACAUCAGCAAGGAAAGGGCAUUUUCUGCCUCUUUUUGGAGGUUUAGUUUUGCUGCCAGGGAGAAGGCUUUGACCUUCCCCUUUUGGGUACCAUACUUAUUAUUUGUUCAGCAUUCCUUCACAAAACUUCAGAAGUGCAAAAUAUGCCUUUCUUCACAUAGUGAUGACAAGCUGUCAGUAAUGAAGGGCACGUUGUUCUGCCCUACAGUCCCAUGGAGGACGGUGCACCCACACCAUGGCAGUUUAGGGAUUAGGGGAACACCGGAGUUCUUUGCUUGAAUUUAUAAAGUUUGGCAGGGACAGUUCUCCAGGACUUCCUUGAAAGAGUGAAAAAAUAAAAUACUCUUUAAACCAGAAACCCUCUCUUUGUCCUUGUUUCUCUAAUUAGACUAGGGGCAGUCCUUAAUGCCAUGAGCCUCAGGUGAAGACAAGCAAAAUGCAAGUUUGUGUGAACUGAGGUCAAAUGUAAUAGAAGAUGUUUUGACUGGAUUGGCUUACAAUGUAUCAGUAAGGAUGAUAUUUUCAAGUUGUGGGGUCUGGUGUACUUCACCCUACACCAUUUAAGAUCCUGUCUAAUUGUAUUUGCAUUAACCAC
ensembl:lncRNA